GUCAGCACCGCUGUUCCGAUCGCUGUUGACGGCCUGCGGUGGUUCUGCUGAGCAUGGGCCUGUGAGGGGUCCGGUGUGUGCGGACGGCCCUGGCCUGGGUGAUGGCCGGAGGCGGGACAGACACCGGGAGCAUCAUUGAUGUGUGUUGCUGCAGCAACGGCUGACAGAUGAUGCUCUUGUGAGAGUGGGUGGGGCUACGUGGCCCUGAGGCCUUAAGGAGGAGUCUCAGCCCUAAGCUCCUCCCCUCUCUCGUCCCGAGACAGACCAAACGGACGGACACACAGACGGCCGUAACUCUCCCCUCCCUCCUCCUCCUUCCCCCCUCUCUCCCCUGUUCUCCCCUCCACCUGGCCCCUCCUCCUCCUCCCGGCCACCCUCCCCUGUCUCCCCCCUCGUCCCCUGCCACCAUGCUGUGGUCACGCUGCUGGUGGAGAGCCUGAGGAAGCAGACUCUGGAAGGCGACCCUGCUCAGCCAGGGGACUUGUACCUGUCCCUGCUGGACCCGAAAACCCUCGCAGAGUGCUGGCCCCC
ensembl:lncRNA